rnacentral:rRNA from 1 species
GACGAACGCUGGCGGUGUGCUUAACACAUGCAAGUCGAACGGAAAGGCCCUGCUUUUGUGGGGUGCUCGAGUGGCGAACGGGUGAGUAACACGUAAGUAACCUGCCCUUGACUUUGGGAUAACUUCAGGAAACUGGGGCUAAUACCGGAUAGGAGCUCCUGCUGCAUGGUGGGGGUUGGAAAGUUUCGGCGGUUGGGGAUGGACUCGCGGCUUAUCAGCUUGUUGGUGGGGUAGUGGCUUACCAAGGCUUUGACGGGUAGCCGGCCUGAGAGGGUGACCGGCCACAUUGGGACUGAGAUACGGCCCAGACUCCUACGGGAGGCAGCAGUGGGGAAUAUUGCACAAUGGGCGGAAGCCUGAUGCAGCAACGCCGCGUGCGGGAUGACGGCCUUCGGGUUGUAAACCGCUUUCGCCUGUGACGAAGCGUGAGUGACGGUAAUGGGUAAAGAAGCACCGGCUAACUACGUG